rnacentral:rRNA from 1 species
CUGAAUAACUACUGCAGAUCGCACGGUCUCGUACCGGCGACGCAUCUUUCAAGUGUCUGCCUUAUCAACUGUCGAUGGUAGUUUAUGUGCCUACCAUGGUUGUAACGGGUAACGGAGAAUAAGGGUUCGACUCCGGAGAGGGAGCCCGAGAAACGGCUACCACAUCCAAGGAAGGCAGCAGGCGCGCCAAUUACCCACUCUCGGCACGAGGAGGUAGUGACAAAGAAUAACGAGGCGGGCCUCUAUGAGGCUUGCUAUCGGAAUGAGAACAAUUUAAAUCCUUUAACGAGGAUCUAGCGGAGGGCAAGUCUGGUGCCAGCAGCCGCGGUAAUUCCAGCUCCGCAGGUGUAUAUCUAUGCUGCUGCGGUUAAAAAG